rnacentral:rRNA from 1 species
UACGUAGGUGGCAAGCGUUGUCCGGAUUUACUGGGCGUAAAGGGCGUGCAGGCGGUCUGUUAAGUUCAGGGUGAAAGCUCCCGGCUCAACUGGGAGAGGUCCUUGGAUACUGGCAGACUUGAGGGAGGUAGAGGAGAGUGGAAUUCCCGGUGUAGUGGUGAUAUGCGUAGAUAUCGGAAGGAACACCAGUGGCGAAGGCGGCUCUCUGGGCCUUUCCUGACGCUGAGACGCGAAAGCGUGGGGAGCGAACCGG